CCUACGGGUGGCUGCAGUGGGGAAUAUUGGACAAUGGGCGAAAGCCUGAUCCAGCCAUGCCGCGUGUGUGAAGAAGGCCUUCGGGUUGUAAAGCACUUUCAGUGGGGAAGAAAGCCUUGGGGCUAAUACCCUCGAGGAAGGACAUCACCCACAGAAGAAGCACCGGCUAACUCCGUGCCAGCAGCCGCGGUAAUACGGAGGGUGCGAGCGUUAAUCGGAAUUACUGGGCGUAAAGCGCGCGUAGGCGGUCUGAUAAGCCGGUUGUGAAAGCCCCGGGCUCAACCUGGGAACGGCAUCCGGGACUGUCAGGCUAGAGUGCAGGAGAGGAGGGUAGAAUUCCCGGUGUAGCGGUGAAAUGCGUAGAGAUCGGGAGGAAUACCAGUGGCGAAGGCGGCCUUCUGGACUGACACUGACGCUGAGGUGCGAAAGCGUGGGUAGCAAACAGGAUUAGAUACCCCAGUAGUC
rnacentral:rRNA from 1 species